rnacentral:rRNA from 1 species
GACGUAGGGGGCCAGCGUUGUUCGGAAUUACUGGGUGUAAAGGGUUCGUAGGCGGUGCGGCAAGUCGGGAGUGAAAUCUCUGGGCUUAACCCAGAGGCUGCUUCCGAAACUGCUGUGCUUGAGUGUGGGAGAGGCGCGUGGAAUUGCAGGUGUAGCGGUGAAAUGCGUAGAUAUCGGGAGGAACACCAGUGGCGAAGGCGACUUCCUGGCCUGUUCUUGACGCUGAGGCGCGAAAGCUAGGGGAGCAAACGGG